rnacentral:rRNA from 1 species
GCUUACGGCCACACCGCCUGGUUCACGCCCGAUCUCGUUUGAUCUCGGAAGCUAAGAUAGGUUGGGCCUGGUUAAGUACUUGGAUGGGAGACCGCCUGGGAAUACCAGGUGCUGUAAGUU